GCACCCACAAUGCUUGUGGAAGGAGGCUGCCAGACCUAUUAAACCUUAAAAAUAAUCUUAUCUUUUUUUUUGUUUGAGAAAGCGUCUCGCUCUGUUACCCAGGCUGGAGUGCAGUGGCACCAUCACAGCUCACUGCAGCUUAAGCAAUCCUGAACUUAAGCAAUCCUCUUGCCUCAGCCUCCUAAGUAGUUGGGACUACAGACAUGCGCCACCACGACUGGCUAAUUUUUAAAUUUUUAGCUGAGAUGGGGUCUCACUAUGCUGCUCAGACUGCUCUUGAACUCCUGGGCUCAAGUGAUCCUCCUGCCUUGGCCUCCCAAAGUGUUGGGAUUACAGGCGUGAGCUAUCACACCUGGCCCAUCUGAUAUUUUGUGUUUUGUUUUUAAUCUCCAAGACUCUUUCUUGUCGUUUUUUAAUUUUUAUUUUUUCUGUUUUUCUUUUUGAGAUUGAGUCUCACUCUGCUGGUCAGGCUGGAGUUCAGACGUGUGCCACCACAACCAGCUAUUUUUUUUAUUUUUAUUUUUAGUAGAAACAGGGUUUCACAUGUUGGCCAGGCUGGUCUCGAACUCCUGACCUCAAGUGAUCUGCCCAUCUCGGCCUCCCAAAGAGCUGGAAUUACAGGCAUGAGCCAUCGUGCCUGGCCAGCUUUUCAUUUUCUUAUAAAGACUUCAUGCCAUUGGAAAAGAGGCAUUAAAUACAUUUGUAUGCUUUUCUGUUUCCUUAUAGGGGCUGCUGCCAUGAAUCUAAGAUUGUAGAGAAAAAUCAAUUUUUCCUCCCCUCCACUUGCUUCUUCAAACCCUUCUUCUUCAAGAUCAUUUUCCUUUAAUUAACAUUUCUCUCUUCUGUUUUUCCAACUGUUUCUGUCCUUUAUCAUCACUGGCUUCUGUUCCAGGGCUUGGAAACAUCUUUAAAUCCCCUUUAACUUCAAAACAAACAAAAAUAAAAAACCACCCACCUCUGUUUGUGCAGAAAGGCAAAGGACAGAAAAAAACCCUUGACAUUUUGAUGGCAAAUAGCAGAGAUCAACA
rnacentral:lncRNA from 1 species